rnacentral:rRNA from 1 species
UACGUAGGGUGCGAGCGUUAAUCGGAAUUACUGGGCGUAAAGCGUGCGCAGGCGGUUUUGUAAGCCAGAUGUGAAAUCCCCGGGCUCAACCUGGGAAUGGCAUUUGGGACUGCAAGGCUGGAGUACGGCAGAGGAGACUGGAAUUCCUGGUGUAGCAGUGAAAUGCGUAGAUAUCAGGAGGAAUACCGAUGGCGAAGGCAGGUCUCUGGGCUGAUACUGACGCUCAUGCACGAAAGCGUGGGGAGCGGAAACAGG